AUUGACUAGUUAUUAAUCCAGUGAUCGGUUAUAGCUUCACUCACCGGAUGGACUGAAUCGUUCCCAGAAAAAAAGUCACAAGUGUCGAUGCUGCCUCCGCCGUUACUUCACAUCCCAGCCCGGCGAUCAUCCACUCGGCUGACGCCGUAAAGGAAGCAGCAAAAUGGCGACACCUGCCGGCAAGAGCGAGGAACAACACCUGUUCCUGCAGCACCAGAAGGGGAGAACAAGGAUGGAUGGAUGUGAAGAUUUGUAAUUUGUAAAUUAAGUAAUUGUAAAACUCCAAGUAAAUAGCAUGUGAACAUUAAAUAUUAACUGUGUAUAUAAGGUUUAUUACUGACAGCAUAUAUUUUUUGUAUUUGAAUAUGGGGGUUAUUUAUAUUUGUAUGAAUACUUUUAUUAUAUUUGUAUGUGUGGAAUGGAGCACUGCAAUGUAGCAAUUUCCCGCAGGGGAUAGUAGAAAUAUUUCUGAUUCUGAAUUAGUCAAUUUAUCACUUAGAUGAUGGGCAGAAAAUUAAUAAGCAACUAUUUUGAUAAUCAAACAGGUUUUAAUUUAUUAGUUGAUUUAUUUUUAUUGAGAAUCUUUGGAUUUUGGAUUGUUGGUCAAAUAAGUCCAUAGAGUCCAGGCUCAAACUCUUCAAGGUAGUCAGGAGCUUUAGAACUCUUUGAACCACUGAAAGACAGUUUUACAAGUUUCUGAAAGAGAUUCUUCACUUUGGGUGUUGGACUUCAAACUUCACCUGAGGAUCAAACCCAUGACUGUAAAACACCUGAAGAGUCCUCUAACACUGUGAGACAUUAGGUCAGAGACACUGGAGACAUCAUCAAACACACAACCUCCAAAUGUCUCAAGACUUUGAAGUUGUGAGAGAUUUUGAGUUUUCACUUUUUAUGUUGGACUUCAAACUUCAUUGAGUCACUGAGGAUUAAAGCCCAUGACCUCUAACCUUUGGACAAAUGUUCAACAGCUUGAGAGAAUGGGACAGAAACAAAAAACAGUUAUUCUCUUUGAGAAUUUCAGUCUUUCCUCUGGACAUUGGUUUUCAACAUUAAUUCUGUCUCAGGAUUGAACCAACAACCUCAAACCUUCCAGAGAGUCAUAGACCACCUAGAUGCUCUUGUACAAAGACACUGUAAACCUCAUUUCUUAGAACUUUUCAGUCUUUGCUCUGGACAUAAACCUUCAAAACUAAGAGCCUCAGUUGUCCUGAGAUUCAGCACAACACCAAACACUGAUAUUAACUUUUAUUGUGAAAAGACAAGAACAUCGCAGCUAGAAUCUUCACAAUGUAAAAGUCAACAACAUUUUUAUCCUGUAAUAAUUUCAGCAAGACGGUCCUGGUCUAAAACAAUAUGCCAAGUAAAUUAAAUUUUAUUAACACAACUAAGGACCAGUAUACUUCAAGUGUGUUAAUGAUUAGUUAACUUAUUAUUCAGUCAACUUUUAUGUGUAAAAGUGAAACAACUUCAAGAGUACCUUGUACACUUAGUACACUAAGUAUAUGGCUGCUUGAUUAGUGAAACUGAAGUGUACCUUGUUUGUGUUACAAGCAAAUUCAAAAUGUAUCGUGGUUAUACGAGAUAUAGAUGCUGUGUAACAUGAAUAUAUGUAAUAGUACGUUGUUAUAGUUUUGACACAUUCCAACAGCAAACUUUAUGGAUAAUAACCAAUAUACUUUAUUAUUACUUUGCUACA